UACGAAGGGGGCUAGCGUUGUUCGGAAUCACUGGGCGCAAAGCGCACGCAGGCGGAUCGAUAAGCCGGGGGUGAAAGCCCGGGGCUCAACCUCGGAAUUGCCUUCGAUACUGUCGGUCUCGAGUCCGGGAGAGGUGGGUGGAAUUCCUAGUGUAGAGGUGAAAUUCGUAGAUAUUAGGAAGAACACCAGUAGCGAAGGCGGCUCACUGGCCCGGUACUGACGCUCAGGUGCGAAAGCGUGGGGAGCAAACAGG
rnacentral:rRNA from 1 species